rnacentral:rRNA from 1 species
GACGAACGCUGGCGGCGUGCUUAACACAUGCAAGUCGAGCGGUAAGGCCCUUUCGGGGGUACACGAGCGGCGAACGGGUGAGUAACACGUGGGUGACCUGCCCUCAGCUCUGGGAUAAGCCUGGGAAACUGGGUCUAAUACUGGAUAUGACUCCACGGUGCAUGUCGUGGGGUGGAAAGCCUUGUGCGGCUGAGGAUGGGCCCGCGGCCUAUCAGCUUGUUGGGGGGUGAUGGCCUACCAAGGCGACGACGGGUAGCCGGCCUGAGAGGGCGACCGGCCACACUGGGACUGAGACACGGCCCAGACUCCUACGGGAGCAGCAGGUGGGGAAUAUUGCGCAAUGGAACGAAAGUCUGACGCAGCAACGCCGCGUGAGGGAUGGACG